rnacentral:rRNA from 1 species
AGAGUUUGAUCAUGGCUCAGGAUGAACGCUAGCGGGAGGCCUAAUACAUGCAAGUCGAACGGUAACAGGUAGCAAUACGCUGACGAGUGGCGCACGGGUGCGUAACGCGUACACAAUCUGCCUUAUACUGGGGCAUAGCCUUUGGAAACGAAGAAUAAUUCCCCAUAACAUAUAGAAGAGGCAUCUCUUUUAUAUUAAAGCUCAGGCGGUAUAAGAUGAGUGUGCGUCCGAUUAGGUAGUUGGUGAGGUAACGGCUCACCAAGCCAACGAUCGGUAGCUGGUCUGAGAGGAUGAUCAGCCACACGGGCACUGAGACACGGGCCCGACUCCUACGGGAGGCAGCAGUAGGGAAUAUUGGACAAUGGGCGCAAGCCUGAUCCAGCCAUCCCGCGUGAAGGAUGAAGGUCCUCUGGAUUGUAAACUUCUUUUCUUCGGGAAUAAAAACUGGGGUUCUCCUCAGCUUGAAGGUACCGAAGGAAUAAGCACCGGCUAACUCCGUG